AUUGUUGUUUAAUCCAGAGCGAGGAUAGGCAGCUCGGGCGUUGGUCGACGUGCGGUCAGCUCGGUCGGCAUAUCCAGUGAGAGGACCAGACCGGUUGAGCGGAGCGGAGGUUGCGGGAGAGGCGAGGCGCGCUCACACACCCUUCUCGGCCACGGGGCGAGACCAUGCGUCGAGCUGGUUCGAGCCUCCUGGACCGGACGCUGAUGCAGAUGGAGGCGAAGCGUCAGCGGACUCUUCGGCGACGAAGUAAAACUGAUCCCCAUGAUUGAAGGAGGCAAUUAAUCGUCAGUUCUAGGGGCAUUCAUCACCGAUGCUGUGCGCCACUCACAGCGGCUACUAAAUGGAGGUGGUACUCAUCUUCUUUGUGGUCGAUUCAUUCAGGGUCUUGGGUGUAUAGAAAAUGGAACCGAAUUCAUUACGUGUGCCUGCAAAUGGUGUUCAUUCUUGGAAAUUGGGGUAUUCUGAUUUGGUCAUUUUUAUUUAAUUGACAAUCUGAUGGCUCCGGGAAAGGUGAUAAUUUCGCUUUGACUACCAUACAUCAUGUUACCAUGUUUUAGCAUUUUUUUGUUGCUUAGAUUAUAUGUCUUCAUACCAUGGAACUGUUUAUUGCGCCACAGUUACUUACAACAGAACAGGAAAAUGUGCAACAACAAAAAAUGUAGCCACCCAUCGAGUGUUAGUGCUAUCAAAAGGUAUCAUUCUCCUUUUA